AGACCGAUAGCGAACAAGUAGAGUGAUCGAAAGAUGAAAAGCACCUUGAAAAGGGGGUUAAACAGUACGUGAAAUUGUUGAAAGGGAAGCGCUCAUGACCAGACUUGUGCCGGGCAGCUCAUCCGGGGUUCUCCCCGGUGCACUCUGCCCGGUUCAGGCCAGCAUCGGUUUUUGCUGGGGGAUAAGAACGGUAGGAACGUGGCCCUCUUUCGGGAGGGUGUUAUAGCCUACCGUACGAUACCCUAGCGGAGACCGAGGUUCGCGCUCCGCAAGGAUGCUGGCGUAAUGGUCAUCAGCGACCCGUCUUGAAACACGGACCAAG
rnacentral:rRNA from 1 species